AGUGAACGCUGGCGGUAGGCCUAACACAUGCAAGUCGAACGGCAGCACAGUAAGAGCUUGCUCUUACGGGUGGCGAGUGGCGGACGGGUGAGGAAUGCAUCGGAAUCUACUUUUUCGUGGGGGAUAACGUAGGGAAACUUACGCUAAUACCGCAUACGACCUACGGGUGAAAGCAGGGGAUCUUCGGACCUUGCGCGAUUGAAUGAGCCGAUGUCGGAUUAGCUAGUUGGCGGGGUAAAGGCCCACCAAGGCGACGAUCCGUAGCUGGUCUGAGAGGAUGAUCAGCCACACUGGGACUGAGACACGGUCCAGACUCCUACGGGAGGCAGCAGUGGGGAAUAUUGGACAAAGGGCGCAAGCCUGAUCCAGCCAUACCGCGUGGGUGAAGAAGGCCUUCGGGUUGUAAAGCCCUUUUGUUGGGAAAGAAAAGCAGCAGGUUAAUACCCCGCUGUUCUGACGGUACCCAAAGAAUAAGCACCGGCUAACUUCGUG
rnacentral:rRNA from 1 species